UUGAAUAAUAUUGUAGAUAGAGAUAAACUGUAAACAGCAAUAAUUUUCAGCAAAGUAAGAUCUACUAAUAAGUUAAAAGACCAAAAUGGUCUCAAUUGAUCCCCUCAGGAGUUAUUGGCCUUUAUUUACCAAUUUUUUUAAAUUUGUGUAAUCUUUUACAAAAAUCUUCUCCUCUGAACCUACUAAGACAAAAUAUAACCAAAUUUGUCCGCAAUCAUCAUCAGAGUAUCUUCUUUAAAAAAUAUGUCCGAUGACCCUACCCGCAAACCAAGAUUGCAGACAUGGCUUAAAAUAGUACAUAGGGUAAAAUGCAGUUUUUGGUUUAUAUUUCUUAAACUGAAGCAUUUACAGCAAAUCUGACUGGUGGCAAAAUGUUUAUCAGAUUUAGAUAUAUCUGCCCUGAAAUUUUCAGACAAAUCCGACAACCAGUUGUUGGUUGCUGCCCCUGAAUAAGUAAUUUUAUGGAAAUUUUGCAAUUUUUUGCUAUUAUCUUAGAUAUUAUAAUAGUAUCUAAUGAUAUCUCAUACUAUAAAUUAUGAUUUUAACCUUAUUUUACAUGAUUUCCAAAGCAUCAGUAAAUACAGGUAAGCGACACAGGCUCUUUAGAGCCUCUAGUUUAUAACAAAACAUAAACACGAAUACUUGGCCUUUAUAUCCUAUACAGGAAUAUAUUCUUGCUUUAUCUUUUGAAUUCAAGAUUAAAAGUUGUAUUAGCAUUUUGUCUUAGAGGCCGCGAAUAAGGGCUAAAACAUGUAUUUCAUUGAAGACAACAUGUAUCAUUCCAAUUGGUCUUUUUAAUGUGUUUUUUUUUUUUUUAUUUCUCUUUGAAUAAUAAACCUGUAUCAUUUGUAUUACCAAAAGAUUUGUUAAACGUGAAACAAUGCAAAUAUCAACUAGUGUGGGCUUAUAGUAUGCGUUAAUACCCAGAGACUGAAAUCAAGUUAAACACCCAAAUAAUGGGGCAAUACAUACUCUUGUAUAUAAUAGUAUCUUAUCUGGGAGUUGUCAUUUAUUUUGUCUGAAAUGGUACUCGUAUAACACAUUAUAUGCCUUAAUGUUUGAAUAUUUGAAUGUCUGAUUAUAAAAAGGUAGAUUUGGUAUGAUUGGCAAUAAGACAACUCUUCACAAAAGACCAAAUGACACAUAAAUUAACAACUAUAGGUCACCGUACGGCCUUUAACAAUGAGCAAAGCCCAUACCACAAAGUUAGCUGUAAAAGGUGCCGAGAUGACAAUGUAAAACAAUUCAAUCGAGAAAACUAACGGCCUUAUUUAUGUACAUAAACGAACGAAAAACAUAUGUAACACAUAAACAAACGACAACCACUGAAUAAAUGCUUCUGACUUGGGACAGGUACAUAUUAGAGAAUGUGGCGUGGUUAAACAUGUUCGCGGGAUCCCCAACCUCCCCUAAACUGGGACAGUGGUGUAACAGUACAACAUAAAUCGAACUAAAAAAAUAUGUUGAAAAAGGCUUAACUCGUCAGAUCAUGGAUAAAAAUAUAAAUACAAGUGAAUGUGGCCGGGUACUUGUACAUCCCAACAACAAAAAGACACUAAGUACAGAUCUGAGAGUACUCAAAGUUACUGAUAGCUAGUUCAAAGCCAC
rnacentral:lncRNA from 1 species